GAUGAACGCUAGCUACAGGCUUAACACAUGCAAGUCGAGGGGUAACGAGAGGGAAGCUUGCUUUCCUUGUCGACGACCGGCGCACGGGUGAGUAACGCGUAUCCAACCUGCCCCCAACUAGGGAAUAACCUUGCGAAAGUAAGACUAAUACCCUAUAAUUUCCUCAGAUGUCAUCUGACGAGGAAUAAAGAUUUAUCGGUUGUGGAUGGGGAUGCGUCUGAUUAGGUUGUUGGCGGGGUAACGGCCCACCAAGGCAACGAUCAGUAGGGGUUCUGAGAGGAAGGUCCCCCACAUUGGAACUGAGACACGGUCCAAACUCCUACGGGAGGCAGCAGUGAGGAAUAUUGGUCAAUGGGCGAAAGCCUGAACCAGCCAAGUAGCGUGCAGGAUGACGGCCCUAUGGGUUGUAAACUGCUUUUAUACAGGAAUAAAGUUAGCCACGUGUGGUUAUUUGUAGGUACUGUAUGAAUAAGGACCGGCUAAUUCCGUGCCAGCCGCCGCCGUAA
rnacentral:rRNA from 1 species